ACAAUGAUUCUUGCAAUUUUCAACUACAACGAUAAGGAUUGAACAGAAGGAAUAAAAUCAUUCCCAAAUGGAUUAUCUUUAUCCAUCGACCACCCCUACAAAUCAUCCAAAUUCAAUUUUAAACAUUUACUCUGGUCAUAGCAAAAUCAACUGCAACAUAUAAGCACAUUAAACCGACAUGGCACAAAAUGCAGGAGGCAGAGAGUUAGAUUUCACUUACCAACAACAUCUG
rnacentral:misc_RNA from 1 species